rnacentral:rRNA from 1 species
CCUGAGUACGACGGAGCACGUGAAAUUCCGUCGGAAUCUGGGAGGACCAUCUCCUAAGGCUAAAUACUCUCUAGUGACCGAUAGUGAACCAGUACCGUGAGGGAAAGGUGAAAAGUACCCCGGAAGGGGAGUGAAAGAGAACUUGAAACCGUGUGCUUACAAGUAGUCAGAGCCCGUUAAUGGGUGAUGGCGUGCCUUUUGUAGAAUGAACCGGCGAGUUACGAUCUGAUGCAAGGUUAAGCAGAAAAUGUGGAGCCGUAGCGAAAGCGAGUCUGAAUAGGGCGAAUGAGUAUUUGGUCGUAGACCCGAAACCAGGUGAUCUACCCUUGGUCAGGUUGAAGUUCAGGUAACACUGAAUGGAGGACCGAACCGACUUACGUUGAAAAGUGAGCGGAUGAACUGAGGGUAGCGGAGAAAUUCCAAUCGAACUUGGAGAUAGCUGGUUCUCUCCGAAAUAGCUUUAGGGCUAGCCUCAAGUGAUGAUUAUUGGAGGUAGAGCACUGUUUGGACGAGGGGCCCCUCUCGGGUUACCGAAUUCAGACAAACUCCGAAUGCCAAAUAAUUUAACUUGGGAGUCAGAAUGUGGGUGAUAAGGUCCAUAUUCGAAAGGGAAACAGCCCAGACCACCAGCUAAGGUCCCAAAAUAUAUGUUAAGUGGAAAAGGAUGUGGCGUUGCCCAGACAACUAGGAUGUUGGCUUAGAAGCAGCCAUCAUUUAAAGAGUGCGUAAUAGCUCACUAGUCGAGUGACACUGCGCCGAAAAUGUACCGGGGCUAAACAUAUUACCGAAGCUGUGGAUUGUCCUUUGGACAAUGGUAGGAGAGCGUUCUAAGGGCGUUGAAGCAUGAUCGCAAGGACAUGUGGAGCGCUUAGAAGUGAGAAUGCCGGUGUGAGUAGCGAAAGACGGGUGAGAAUCCCGUCCACCGAUUGACUAAGGUUUCCAGAGGAAGGCUCGUCCGCUCUGGGUUAGUCGGGUCCUAAGCUGAGGCCGACAGGCGUAGGCGAUGGAUAACAGG